AGCGUAGGCGGUUAGGUAAGCCCUCCGGGAAAUCUCUCGGCUUAACCGGGAAAGGUCGGAGGGGACUGCCUGGGCUAGAGGACGGGAGAGGAGCGCGGAAUUCCCGGUGUAGCGGUGAAAUGCGUAGAGAUCGGGAGGAAGGCCGGUGGCGAAGGCGGCGCUCUGGAACGUUCCUGACGCUGAGGCUCGAAAGCGUGGGGAGCAAACAGGAUUAGAUACCCUGGUAGUCCACGCCCUAAACGAUGGACACUAAGUGUCGGCGGGUUACCGCCGGUGCCGCAGCUAACGCAGUAAGUGUCCCGCCUGGGGAUACGGCCGCAAGGUUGAA
rnacentral:rRNA from 1 species